ensembl:lncRNA
UGCCACCCAAGGGCAAUUCAGUUCAUCUGGCUCUGGAAUUAUCUCAGGGAAUACCUCACUUUCCCCUUCGGUUGAUGAAGACUAUGAUGACUGAAUUCCCAGUCAAGGCACACCAUUUGGAAGGAGCUGAGAGAAGGAGGACAGCUCUCCAUACCUGCUGGCUGUUGCCAGCUCCCUGCCUUGGACAGUGGACUGGGAAACACAAGAGUGUGAGCAAUCUGGCAGCUCCUCCUCUGGCUGGGCAGCUAGCUGGAGCAGUUGUCAUAUGCAGUCAUAUUCCCUUGUCUUUGUGCUUAGAAUUAUGGAAAACCUCCAGAGAGGUUCAUCGUUGCAGAAAUCAUCGUGUAGACUUCAGAUACAGCCCGCAGUGUCCGUCACUUGGUGCUUGUCUUGAGGAAAUGCUGCAGAGGAGCCUGUUUGGAUAUCAGCUGGAGAAUUAACCUGGUCAAGUUGGCUCUGCUGAGAAUUCUCCUCUGCCGUCCUCUUUCUGUGAAGCAGAUCUGGAAGAAACAGCAUCAUGGAAGCCAGUGGGUUUCAUGUGUACUACACUGCUGGGCAAAGGAUAAGAGGAAGAGUGGUCACUGAUAAAUCAUCUGUGUCAUUAUCACUUAUAUGUAUCUACGUGGGAUGAAAGGAUUAGAGUCAUAAAUAUACUUCCUUCUCUGAUAUCCAAGCCAUGAAAAUGUAGAGAAAAAUGUUUUCUCGGCUGUCAGGGUUUACAGAAGUGGUGAAAAAAGCACCACCACCUCCAAAAGCUUUACUAAAUCCUGCGAGGUAG